rnacentral:rRNA from 1 species
UAGGGAAUAUUGCAAAAUGGGCGAAAGCCCGAUGCAGCAACGCCGCGUGGGCGAUGAAGGCCUUCGGGUCGUAAAGCCCUUUUUGAGGGGAUGAGGAAGGACAGUACCCUCAGAAUAAGCCUCGGCUAACUACGUGCCAGCAGCCGCGGUAAAACGUAGGAGGCGAGCGUUAUCCGGAUUUACUGGGCGUAAAGCGCGUGCAGGCGGAUUGGAGAGUUUGAUGUGAAAGCUCCCGGCUUAACUGGGAGAGGUCGUUCAAUACUUCCAGUCUUGAGUGCAGUAGAGGGAAGUGGAAUUCCGGGUGUAGUGGUGAAAUGCGUAGAUAUCCGGAGGAACACCAGUGGCGAAAGCGGCUUCCUGGACUGUAACUGACGCUCAGACGCGAAAGCUAGGGUAGCAAAC